GACGAACGCUGGCGGCGUGCUUAACACAUGCAAGUCGAACGGAAAGGCCCUGCUUUUGUGGGGUGCUCGAGUGGCGAACGGGUGAGUAACACGUGAGUAACCUGCCCUUGACUUUGGGAUAAAUUCAGGAAACUGGGGCUAAUACCGGAUAGGAGCUCCUGCUGCAUGGUGGGGGUUGGAAAGUUUCGGCGGUUGGGGAUGGACUCGCGGCUUAUCAGCUUGUUGGGGGGGUAGUGGCUUACCAAGGCUUUGACGGGUAGCCGGCCUGAGAGGGUGACCGGCCACAUUGGGACUGAGAUACGGCCCAGACUCCUACGGGAGGCAGCAGUGGGGAAUAUUGCACAAUGGGCGGAAGCCUGAUGCAGCAACGCCGCGUGCGGGAUGACGGCCUUCGGGUUGUAAACCGCUUUCGCCUGUGACGAAGCGUGAGUGACGGUAAUGGGUAAAGAAGCACCGGCUAACUACGUG
rnacentral:rRNA from 1 species